rnacentral:rRNA from 1 species
AACGAACGCUGGCGGCAUGCCUAACACAUGCAAGUCGAACGAGACCUUCGGGUCUAGUGGCGCACGGGUGCGUAACGCGUGGGAACCUGCCCUUAGGUUCGGAAUAACUCCCCGAAUGGGGUGCUAAUACCGGAUAAUGUCUUCGGACCAAAGAUUUAUCGCCUUUGGAUGGGCCCGCGUUGGAUUAGCUAGUUGGUAGGGUAAAAGCCUACCAAGGCGACGAUCCAUAGCUGGUCUGAGAGGAUGAUCAGCCACACUGGGACUGAGGCACGGCCCAGACUCCUACGGGAGGCAGCAGUGGGGAAUAUUGGACAAUGGGCGAAAGCCUGAUCCAGCAAGGCCGCGUGAGUGAUGAAGGCCUUAGGGUUGUUAAGCUCUUUUACCCGGGAUGAUAAUGACAGUACCGGGAGAAUAAGCGCCGGCUAACUCCGUG